rnacentral:rRNA from 1 species
CCUACGGGAGGCUGCAGUCGAGAAUCAUUCACAAUGGGGGAGACCCUGAUGGUGCGACGCCGCGUGGGGGAAUGAAGGUCUUCGGAUUGUAAACCCCUGUCAUGUGGGAGCAAAUCAAAAAGAUAGUACCACAAGAGGAAGAGACGGCUAACUCUGUGCCAGCAGCCGCGGUAAUACAGAGGUCUCAAGCGUUGUUCGGAAUCACUGGGCGUAAAGCGUGCGUAGGCUGUUUCGUAAGUCGGGUGUGAAAGGCCCGGGCUCAACCCGCGGACGGCACAUGAUACUGCGAGACUAGAGUAAUGGAGGGGGAACCGGAAUUCGCGGUGUAGCUGUGAAAUGCGUAGAUAUCGAGAGGAACCCUCGUGGCGAAGGCGGGUUCCUGGACAUUAACUGACGUUGAGGCACGAAGGCCAGGGGAGCGAAAGGGAUUAGAUACCCGUGUAGUC